rnacentral:tRNA from 1 species
GGGCCCGUAGCUCAGCAAGGCAGAGCGGCGGACUGGUCACCCGUAGGUCAGGGGUUCAAUUCCCCUCGGGCCCGCCA